GGACUCCCUGUAGGGUCCUGCUGACCGGUACCUUCCCUGGCAUCUUCCCCAGUACCUGGCCCCUCACCCAGCUCAAGGAUGGUUGAGUUGAAGACAGCAGGUUGGUGAGAGGGCUUCUGGAGCAUCAGCUGCUGGAGGCUCGAUGCUCUCAGCUUCUCCCUCUCCCUGCCAUCUGCUGCCCCUGGCCUUGUUCUGGAGCCCAGACCACUCGGCCUGGUGGUAGGUGUGUCCCCAACCUACCACACCCAUUGGUGAGCUACUGGUUCCAAGCAAGCCCUGAGUCUCCUACACUGAGGACAGUUUCGACUUGCUGCAAAAGUGUUUACACUGUCAGCUCAAAAGUCACAGGCAGCCUUACCAAAGCAGCUCCUUUUGGGCCCUCUUGAAGCUGGGAGAUGAAUUCAUUUUGUUCCUUGGAAAUUGAAGGUAAAACUCAAACACGAGAUUCAGCUGCCUCG
rnacentral:lncRNA from 1 species